rnacentral:rRNA from 1 species
GAAGAGUUUGAUCAUGGCUCAGAUUGAACGCUGGCGGCAGGCCUAACACAUGCAAGUCGAGCGGAAACGAUCCUAGCUUGCUAGGAGGCGUCGAGCGGCGGACGGGUGAGUAAUGCAUAGGAAUCUGCCCGGUAGUGGGGGAUAACUUGAGGAAACUCAAGCUAAUACCGCAUACGCCCUACGGGGGAAAGCAGGGGCUCUUCGGACCUUGCGCUAUCGGAUGAGCUUAUGUCGGAUUAGCUGGUUGGUGAGGUAACGGCUCACCAAGGCGACGAUCCGUAGCUGGUCUGAGAGGAUGAUCAGCCACAUCGGGACUGAGACACGGCCCGAACUCCUACGGGAGGCAGCAGUGGGGAAUAUUGGACAAUGGGGGCAACCCUGAUCCAGCCAUGCCGCGUGUGUGAAGAAGGCCCUCGGGUUGUAAAGCACUUUCAGCGAGGAAGAAUGCUUGUCGGUUAAUACCCGGCAAGGGAGACAUCACUCGCAGAAGAAGCACCGGCUAACUCCGUGCCAGCAGCCGCGGUAAUACGGAGGGUGCGAGCGUUAAUCGGAAUUACUGGGCGUAAAGCGUGCGUAGGCGGCUUGAUAAGCCGGUUGUGAAAGCCCCGGGCUCAACCUGGGAACGGCAUCCGGAACUGUUAGGCUAGAGUGCAGGAGAGGAAGGUAGAAUUCCCGGUGUAGCGGUGAAAUGCGUAGAGAUCGGGAGGAAUACCAGUGGCGAAGGCGGCCUUCUGGACUGACACUGACGCUGAGGUACGAAAGCGUGGGUAGCAAACAGGAUUAGAUACCCUGGUAGUCCACGCCGUAAACGAUGUCGACUAGCCGUUGGGGUCCUCGAGACCUUUGUGGCGCAGUUAACGCACUAAGUCGACCGCCUGGGGAGUACGGCCGCAAGGUUAAAACUCAAAUGAAUUGACGGGGGCCCGCACAAGCGGUGGAGCAUGUGGUUUAAUUC